rnacentral:piRNA from 1 species
UGAGACGCUAAGACUCUUGGAGAGCGCCUU